GCGAGGGUUGCAGAGUCUGGUCAAAUGAGAUCAUUUUAUGAUUUCAGACUUCAUGCGCAGGACUUAAGAUCCUGUCCCUUAGUGGGUCCGUGAGUUCGAAUCUCACCCCUCGCA
rnacentral:tRNA from 1 species